AAUUAAAAAGAACUGUUGCUUGUGAUGUAGUUUUCUAAUAUUUCCAUUUCAUAUAUCACAGUGGCUGUUCUUUUUAGUU
rnacentral:pre_miRNA from 1 species